rnacentral:lncRNA from 1 species
AUUCAGAAUCAGGGGUCAUUGCGCCAGGCGGCAGGCCGAGGUCUCCAGAGCCUCCGAGCGUAAUCGUUUUUGUGUUUUCACGGCAGAAUUUGAAUUGCGUUGCAGAAUUGAAUUGCAGCUCAAGCUGCAUAACUGCCAUUCCAGUUCAAAGACACUAGUUCAUCAUGUCAAGAUGCGGGUGAGAAGACCAUUAAGCGGAGUGAGUCUGUUAAUGUCACGUCUGAGGAAGGCGGCUGGAGUCAUUAUUGCUGUGGAAGUCGGGUGCUGUGCAGCAGGAUAUUGGGCUUUCAGAAAAACCAACAGAGACCAAGAGUUCCGUUUCUACCUGAGAAACAACUGGCCGACGGUGUUGGACGCUUACUACACGUUCUGCGGCCAACUGGGCGAGGAGUACCGACAGAUCGAACUGCGGGACAUCCAGGCCUGGCGAGGACGCACCCAGUGACGAAUUGAUUUUACCACGAUGUCUGCCGCGCUGAUAAAGGGUCUGACCCACCUGGUGUUCUGGUCCGGCAUGGGCUACAUGCUGAUGCAGGUGGUCACGCCCAGUGACGACGAGAUCAGAAAGAAAUUACCGGGCGGCCAGAACUCGGCGUCGUCCGACCCCAGCCACAACAAGCUGGUUAUGGAGGCCAUGAAACGGUCGGCCGGGGUCAAGGACAAGUGACCAGCGCCGCGACCAACCCCCUAGUGCAAUCGAACUCGUGUGGAGAACGGUAACCGAGUGAGUGGAACCGAAACCAGUGAUUAUGACCCACUUGAUGCCGUUACCUCGCUGGGACAGGAUAGAUAGUGUUUUUAAACGUGUGAGCUGCGUUGCAUUGUGUGAACGAUUGUCGCGAUUUGCUGUUUUGGAAUAGAGUGUACGAGUAUUACAUGGCUUGUUCUGCGCAUUUAUCGCGCAAGGCAUUAGCGAUACCCGAUGAUAAUUCCCUUGACAAGAAGUCCGACCCUAAAAUAAACAUUUUCAAUGUUA